rnacentral:rRNA from 1 species
AUACAGAGGGUGCGAGCGUUAAUCGGAAUUACUGGGCGUAAAGCGCGCGUAGGCGGCUACUUAAGUCAGAUGUGAAAUCCCCGGGCUCAACCUGGGAACUGCAUCUGAUACUGGGUAGCUAGAGUUUUGGAGAGGGAAGUAGAAUUUCAGGUGUAGCGGUGAAAUGCAUAGAGAUCUGAAGGAAUACCAGUGGCGAAGGCGACUUCCUGGCCAAAAACUGACGCUGAGGUGCGUAAGCGUGGGUAGCAAACGGGAUUAGAUACCCUAGUAGUCC